rnacentral:misc_RNA from 1 species
GUCCGCUAAACAGGUUGUUGGAGAGGUCAAAAAUUCGCAGCUUUGAGAAUGAAUAAUUGGCAGAGGUCCCUUUCACCCAACCAUGAAAUCUAUUGGAUUUUAGAAUUAGAAUUUGUAGCUUCGAAAGUGUUUCCAGAAAAUGGGGGAAUGUGUCAUCUAUAUUAUUGUUUCCGAGAUCUAAAAUUUCCAAAUUUAUACAAUUGGAGAUGGAAGGUGGGA